AAGGCAGCCCCCUGGGCCAAUACUGACGCUCAUGCACGAAAGCGUGGGGAGCAAACAGGAUUAGAUACCCUGGUAGUGCACGCCCUAAACGAUGUCAACUAGUUGUUGGGGAUUCAUUUCCUUAGUAACGUAGCUAACGCUUGAAGUUGACCGCCUGGGGAGUACGUUCGCAAGAUUAAAACUCAAAGGAAUUGACGGGGACCCGCACAAGCGGUGGAUGAUGUGGAUUAAUUCGAUGCAACGCGAAAAACCUUACCUACCCUUGACAUGGUCGGAAUCCCGCUGAGAGGUGGGAGUGCUCGAAAGAGAACCGGCGCACAGGUGCUGCAUGGCUGUCGUCAGCCUGUGUCGUGAGAUGUUGGGUUAAGUCCCGCAACGAGCGCAACCCUUGUCCUUAGUUGCUACGCAAGAGCACUCUAAGGAGACUGCCGGUGACAAACCGGAGGAAGGUGGGGAUGACGUCAAGUCCUCAUGGCCCUUAUGGGUAGGGCUUCACACGUCAUACAAUGGUCGGAACAGAGGGUUGCCAACCCGCGAGGGGGAGCUAAUCCCAGAAAACCGAUCGUAGUCCGGA
rnacentral:rRNA from 1 species